rnacentral:rRNA from 1 species
UACAGAGGGUGCAAGCGUUGUUCGGAAUCAUUGGGCGUAAAGGGCGCGUAGGCGGCCUGUUAAGUCGAACGUGAAAUCCCUGGGCUCAACCCAGGAACUGCGUCCGAUACUGGCAGGCUUGAAUCCGGGAGAGGGAUGCGGAAUUCCAGGUGUAGCGGUGAAAUGCGUAGAUAUCUGGAGGAACACCGGUGGCGAAGGCGGCAUCCUGGACCGGCAUUGACGCUGAGGCGCGAAAGCCAGGGGAGCAAACGGG